UACGGGGGGAGCAAGCGUUGUUCGGAUUUACUGGGCGUAAAGGGCGCGUAGGCGGCGUAACAAGUCACUUGUGAAAUCUCCGGGCUUAACUCGGAGCGGUCAAGUGAUACUGUUGUGCUAGAGUGCGGAAGGGGCUACUGGAAUUCUCGGUGUAGCGGUGAAAUGCGCAGAUAUCAGGAGGAACACCGGUGGCGAAGGCGGUUCUCUGGGAAUAUUCUGACGCUGAGGAGCGAAAGUGUGGGGAGCGAACAGG
rnacentral:rRNA from 1 species